UACGAAGGGGACCAGCGUUGUUCGGAAUCACUGGGCGUAAAGCGCACGUAGGCGGAUUUGUAAGUCAGGGGUGAAAUCCCGGGGCUCAACCUCGGAACUGCCUUUGAUACUGCGAAUCUUGAGUCCGAUAGAGGUGGGUGGAAUUCCUAGUGUAGAGGUGAAAUUCGUAGAUAUUAGGAAGAACACCGGUGGCGAAGGCGGCCCACUGGAUCGGUACUGACGCUGAGGUGCGAAAGCGUGGGGAGCAAACAGG
rnacentral:rRNA from 1 species